rnacentral:lncRNA from 1 species
CUUCAAUAUUUUCUUUGUUGUAUGUUCUAUCUCAUAGCAUUUCUCAAGUGUGUAAAAAUUACAUAAACCAUCAAAUUCAAGGGUACACUAUUGCAUGUAUAUCUUCGCACUAGAUCUAAGUCAGAUUUCUCAUCAAUUCCUCUCAAGGGUGUCACUCUUUUAUCACUUUGUCAUCACUCUUUGUGCUCCAUGUGAGCCUCGCCCCUAUAGACUUCUUUUGUUGCCCCAUCAUAAGAAACUAGACUGCAUUAGUUGAUCCAGGAUGCAAAAAGUAUAUCACAGAUUCUUGUAGAUAGUGACCAUAAUAUUAUCAAUCCUUGUCAUCGUUGCCUUUGGAAUACCAACCACAUCCACAUCAAGCUUGUUCUAGAGAGAACAUUAGGUAAUACUUUUGAAAGGAUGAGCAAUUCUUCACAACGUGUGGGGAAUUAAAAGACAGUAACCAAAUUGGUGAGUUGACAAUUAAGCACCAACUUAAUCUAUAGAAAUAUGUAAC